rnacentral:tRNA from 7 species
GCCGCUAUCGUCUAGUGGUUAGGACAUCAGGUUCUCAUCCUGGUAACCGGGGUUCGAUUCCCCGUGGCGGUACCA